rnacentral:rRNA from 1 species
CAAUGGGGGGAACCCUGNAUGCAGCGACGCCGCGCUGGAGGAAGAAGGUCUUCGGCAUUGUAAACUCCUGUUGUUGAGGAAGAUAAUGACGGUACUCAACAAGGNAAGUGACGGCUAACUACGUGCCAGCAGCCGCGGUAAAACGUAGGUCACAAGCGUUGUCCGGAAUUACUGGGUGUAAAGGGAGCGCAGGCGGGAGAACAAGUUGGAAGUGAAAUCCAUGGGCUCAACCCAUGAACUGCUUUCAAAACUGUUUUUCUUGAGUAGUGCAGAGGUAGGCGGAAUUCCCGGUGUAGCGGUGGAAUGCGUAGAUAUCGGGAGGAACACCAGUGGCGAAGGCGGCCUACUGGGCACCAACUGACGCUGAGGCUCGAAAGUGUGGGUAGCAAACAGGAUUAGAUACCCUGGUAGUCCAAGGGCGAAUUC